AGUACUCAAACUGAGGUUGGCCAUGUGGGAGUCCAGCACCUUAAUUACUAUGCCACCUACUGGCCUUCCUCCUCAAUCUUAAAGCCUCAGCAGUUCCUGCCAAAGCUCCCCAGGCUACGUGUUCUCAUAGAUGCCUUACCCCCUUAUCUUAGCACCCAUGUAGCACUGUUCAUUGUUGCUAAUUUCACUCCCUGUUAACCUAUGGUGGUGGUGACUGGGUCCAUCUUUUAAGAUUUGGUUGGCUACUGUCUUGAAAUUUUAUUUUAUGUUUUUAUUUUUCUAAAGCCUUUAUUCUUUAAAAAAUUGAGUCAUUUAUGAGGAAAGCUUUUAGUUUCUUGAAUUCCAGUAGAGUAGUGUGAAAAUAAUGCAGACUUAGGAUGAUAACUACGUUUGCAUCCUAGCUGUAUUGUUAGUAUGGGCUGGUCCUCCAUCUUUCAACCCUUAGCUUCUUCAUCUGAAAAUCUGAACUAUCUGCUGCCUUCCCUGGUAUUGAGAAGAUUUAUUACACAUUAUGGUUGUGGUUCAGAUUCUUUUUAGUUGUUCAGUCCUUGGAGAAGAUUCAAAGCAGCCCUCCACCUAACAGGUUAAUGUCAGCAUGCGUUUGCGUCACUAGGUUUAUCUUUACAUCUAGUACUUGGAUGUACUCAGCUGGAAGACCAAAGAUAAACUGUGGCACCUGCAUGCAGGUCGAGGUCAAACUGCCCCAUGACAAAUGUUACAAAAUUAAGACAGCCCACAGGCUUCUCAGUGGAGCUCACCGUGUUCCAACACAGAGUGCCAGGAUCCAUCCAGUCAGAGCAGAAUGAAUAGCCUGACUGACCUUAGGGCUGUCAGAUCCGAGAGCUAUUGUGUGCACCUUAGGGCUGUCAGAUCCGAGAGCUAUUGUGUGCACCAAACGGAUCUAAGAGUCUGAUUUCCCUAAUGAUUUCAAGAUGGAUGCAGGCAGCAACUGCAGCUUCAUUUUACAUAUAUCAGGGUAAAAGAAACCUUUGGGAAAUCCUGAAGGAGUCUCCUCCCCUCUACCCCAAGUAUUAUGAUGUCUGGUCAGUUCUAGGAAUACCACUGGAUAUGUUCUGUGGACAUUUGGGAUUGCUGUUCCCAUUGUGAUUGGGUAAGUCUUCUAUCAAAUGAAUCACUUCGAAGGAAGGCUUUGGUUGUCACCAUUAUACCACUGAAAAAAAGUGUUAGCAAAGUAUGGUU